GCUCGGCGGCGGCCCUGGCCCUGGGGCACGGGGAGCGGAGGCCGCGGCGGCGGGCGCUGGAAUGUCGGGGAGCUCGAAGGUGGUGCUGGGCCUCUCGGUGGUGCUGACGGCGGCCACCGUGGCGGGCGUGCAUAUGAAGCAGCGGCAGGACCAGCAGCAGCGGGAAAGAGGAGGACAAAUGUUUGACACGGUGGGUGUGUUGGAAGGUUCAAGGAAGCAAGAACUAAAACGAUGACUGUUGUCCCCCAUUGUUUCCUGACUGACUGCCACAUACCAGGCGCUGUUCUAAGCACUUUACGUACAUCAGCCUUGAUCAUCACAGGAGCCCAACAAAACCAGCAAGGCUUCGUGACGGAGUGAUCAGAGACAUUGAGAGGCAAAAUCGGAAAAAAGAAAAUAUUCGUCUUUUGGGAGAACAGAUUCUUCUGACUGAGCAACUUGAAGCAGAAAGAGAGAAGAUGGUGUUGGCAAAAGGAUCUCA